rnacentral:rRNA from 1 species
CAGUCGCCGCGGUAAUCCGUAGGGUGCGAGCGUUAAUCGGAAUUACUGGGCGUAAAGCGUGCGCAGGCGGUUCUGUAAGACAGGCGUGAAAUCCCCGGGCUCAACCUGGGAAUGGCGCUUGUGACUGCAAAGCUAGAGUGCGGCAGAGGGGGAUGGAAUUCCGUGUGUAGCAGUGAAAUGCGUAGAGAUGUGGAGGAACACCAGUGGCGAAGGCGACUCUCUGGUCUGUAACUGACGCUGAGGAGCGAAAGCGUGGGGAGCGAACAGGAUUAGAUACCCCGGUAGUCCCUGUCUCUUAUAC